rnacentral:lncRNA from 1 species
AGUUAAGUGGUGCACAGUCCCGUGAAGGGUUCUUGAGAGCUUUUCAAGCUGCUACAAGUUGAAUUUCAGCACUACAAAGUUUCUAAUUCUAUUGUCUUAUAUUACAAUAUUACAAUGAUACUAUAGAAAUAAGAAGCUAGUGUCAUGUUGCAUUAUAUAAGUGGUCUAGCGCAAGCGGUGGAUGCGCACUGAGUUUUGUAAACUCCAUGCUAUCGAAUUCGAUUCCUAAUCAUCAAUAAUAAAAUGAUUGACUUUG